rnacentral:piRNA from 1 species
UGACAAGUUUUCUGGUGUCCUUGCG